rnacentral:rRNA from 1 species
AGAGUUUGAUCAUGGCUCAGGACGAACGCUGGCGGCGUGCCUAAUACAUGCAAGUCGAGCGGACAGACGGAGUGCUUGCACUCCUGAUGUUAGCGGCGGACGGGUGAGUAACACGUAGGCAACCUGCCCGACAGACAGGGAUAACUCCGGGAAACCGGUGCUAAUACCUGAUAGGCAACGAGAAGGCAUCUUCUUGUUGG